rnacentral:rRNA from 1 species
CCUACGGGUGGCAGCAGUGGGGAAUAUUGCACAAUGGGCGAAAGCCUGAUGCAGCAACGCCGCGUGAAGGAAGAAGGGUUUCGGCUUGUAAACUUCUAUCAACAGGGACGAAAGAAACGACAGUACCUGAAUAAGAAGCGUCGGCUAACUACGAGCCAGCAGCCGCGGUAAUACGUAGGGGGCAAGCGUUAUCCGGAAUUACUGGGUGUAAAGGGUGAGUAGGCGGCAUGGUAAGCCAGAUGGGAAAUCCUUGGGCUUAACCCGAGGAGUGCAGUUGAAACUAUCAAGCUUGAGUACAGGAGAGGAAAGCGGAAUUCGUAGUGUAGCGGUGAAAUGCGUAGAUAUUAGGAAGAACACCAGUGGCGAAGGCGGCUUUCUGGACUGAAACUGACGCUGAGGCACGAAAGCGUGGGGAGCGAACAGGAUUAGAUACCCGAGUAGUC